UUGAGCCGUAUGCCGGUAAACUCGCACGUACGGUUCUGAGGGGGGAUGGGCCAAUAAUAGCUCAUCCCUACCCGAC
rnacentral:ncRNA from 2 species